UGGGCCGUGCCAGGACUGGGUACACAAGUGGUACUACAACACGUCAACACAGGCCUGUAAGAUAUUAUAAGUGGCUUUGUAUUGUUACCAUGAUGAUGUCUGACAGAGAGGUGCAAGGGCGUGGUGUCGCGUGGGCCGUGCCAGGACUGGGUACACAAGUGGUACUACAACACGUCAACACAGGCCUGUAAGAUAUUAUAAGUGGCUUUGUAUUGUUACCAUGAUGAUGUCUGACAGAGAGGUGCAAGGGCGUGGUGUCGCGUGGGCCGUGCCAGGACUGGGUACACAAGUGGUACUACAACACGUCAACACAGGCCUGUAAGAUAUUAUAAGUGGCUUUGUAUUGUUACCAUGAUGAUGUCUGACAGAGAGGUGCAAGGGCGUGGUGUCGCGUGGGCCGUGCCAGGACUGGGUACACAAGUGGUACUACAACACGUCAACACAGGCCUGUAAGAUAUUAUAAGUGGCUUUGUAUUGUUACCAUGAUGAUGUCUGACAGAGAGGUGCAAGGGCGUGGUGUCGCGUGGGCCGUGCCAGGACUGGGUACACAAGUGGUACUACAACACGUCAACACAGGCCUGUAAGAUAUUAUAAGUGGCUUUGUAUUGUUACCAUGAUGAUGUCUGACAGAGAGGUGCAAGGGCGUGGUGUCGCGUGGGCCGUGCCAGGACUGGGUACACAAGUGGUACUACAACACGUCAACACAGGCCUGUAAGAUAUUAUAAGUGGCUUUGUAUUGUUACCAUGAUGAUGUCUGACAGAGAGGUGCAAGGGCGUGGUGUCGCGUGGGCCGUGCCAGGACUGGGUACACAAGUGGUACUACAACACGUCAACACAGGCCUGUAAGAUAUUUGUGUACGGCGGCUGCAAGGGCGAGAAUGUGUUCGAUUCAGAGGCAGAGUGUCUCCACUACUGUAUCGGCGGUGACCAUACCCUUCCUCCCUACCUGAUGAUACCACCUGCGCCGCCGGACGAAUCGACGAGUGAGGCCCCACGAGUCACCUCUGCGCGGCCUCCGGUCCCACUCGAACAUCGAGGGAUCGAGCUGACCUUUGCGGAAACAGGGCACCACAAGGUGUUCAUGAUGGCGAAGAACAACGCGUUCAUUCAGCUCGAUGGCAAUCGCAUCCCCACGUUUCAACUGAGGUUGUGUCGUGAGAUAUCUUUCCAGUUCCGCACUCGCCUGCCGCACGGUCUGCUUGUCUACCACAGUGUUAAGGACCGGCCGGAAGGACUCGACCCUUACGCCCUCUACGUUAUUGUAGAAAAGGGUCAGCUCAAGGUCGUUCACGUGUUUGGGAAACAUUCUCUGUCUGUUAUAGUGGGAGAGGGACUGAACCGGGACACUUGGCACAGUGUGAUGGUGCGCAUAGAUGUGCAUGGCGCUCGUCUCAUAGCUAAGGUCGAUGACAAAACUGCCGAGGCUAGUAUACCAGGGUUGAAUGAGUCUACCAAUUAUGGCGUCACAUCGGAUCUCACAUCUGUUGUUCUUAUUGGAGGGCUAAGUCCAGAGGAGAAGUUGCAUGGAGUGAAGUAUAUCAUCGAGUCUUUUGUUGGUUGUAUCAAAGACAUGGUGCUGAGUGCAGGGAAGGCUGCCUCGGAUCUACUGCCUAUCAAGCCUCUCAUCGCAACCAAACAUGACAAUGUCCUUGAAGGUUGUCUGAACAAAUGUCGAACAAGAGAGAAUUUCUGCUUUGAGGGAAGCAAGUGUAUCAACCACUACAACGAACUGUCCUGUGACUGUUUCGGCACCAGCUAUGAGGGUGAACUCUGUGAUAUUUACACCGCUACUAUUUUAACUUUCCGUGGAUCCUCAUAUGUCUCAUAUCGUGUCUAUGACUGGAAAGACAGGGUUCAUUCUAGCAUCAACAAGAUAGGCCUGCACUUCAAGACACGGUUUGACGACUCGGCACUGUUCUACGCCAGUGGAGAGUCACCUGGUCACCAUCACAUCGCUGCGGCCAUCACCAACGGCUCUGUGACUGUGGAGGUAGACCUCGGAGGUGACCCUGUGGUGGUACGGCUCGGUAAGACAGUCAAUGAUAACCUCUGGCACAACCUCACUCUUUCCCACCACCACAACAACGUCACAGUUCACUUGGACCAGGUUGCAAGAGUGAUACAGAUUCAGAAUGGCCAACCUCAUCUAUACAUAGAUCCAGAGAUCUAUAUCGGGGGUGGGCCGGACCUGCAACAGAAAAAAGGGCUUGCGUCACACAACAAUUUUGUCGGCUCCCUAAAAUAUGUCUAUUUUAAUGAGAUCUCCAUUCUGUAUGAGCUGAAGAAAGGCAACCCUAAGGUCCAUUACAUAGGAGUGCUUGAUCCAAUGUUUUUUGAGUACGACAUCAAGGUUAUCCCCAUCACGUUCCCGUUCUCGGUGGCCCACGUCUGGUGGCCGAUAACCACCCCCGAGUACCUGCACCUGUGUUUCGAGUUCAAGAGCAGUCGCAGCAUGGCCAUACUGGCCACUGCCGAGGUGGUGUCCUCUCUGGGUCUGGGCCAGUGGGAGUUGAGAAUGGUAAACGAAGAGAUUCGUUUUGAAGUGAUACCCGAGCAGAACAAGAACAUCACACAUCUGACUACCGUCAAGUUUGACUCCAAGGAUGAAUGGCACACUAUAGAGCUAACCUACAAUGACGGAGAGGUGAAUCUGAUUGUGGACUCCAAAAGUAAGACAGCUGACCUGUUUGGGCUGCAGUUCAAACUGAGUGAUGUUAUCACCAUCGGCAGUGGAGUAGGACCCAAGUCUAGCCUGGGAUUGGUGGGAUGUAUGCAGAAGAUCUCGGUGAAUGGCUUCUUGAUAGAGCCUCGCUAUGUGACUCGCACAAAGCAUACUUUCGGUCACGUGUCACUGGACAAUUGUGAGUUGGUGGAUCCCUGCAAGAGCCCUAAUGCUUGCGAGCACGGAGGCAUCUGCUCCGUGAAGGAGGAUCAUCUCUCUUGUGAUUGUAAAGAGACUGGAUAUAUAGGGAAGAAUUGCCAUUUUGCCAAAUUCCGCAAGACGUGUGAGGAGCUGGCACUGCUGGGCUACACCAAGCCUGACGUGUACUUGAUCGACAUUGACGGUAAUGGCAGGUUUCCUCCAGCCCACGUCAAGUGUGAGUUCCAGUCUCUGGAGGACUCGACGAAGACCAUCGUCGAGCACAAUCUUCCCAGCCAAGUUGAUGUGAGGAGCUCUGCAGAGACUGAUUUUAGUUUUGACAUUUCUUACCGAGAGUUCAACUCGGCAAUGUUGACAGAACUCAUCUCACAUUCACUGUACUGCAGCCAGUACAUCAAGUACGAUUGCUACAAGGCCCCUCUAGAGCUGCAUUCGGCCACGUGGUUCAUCUCUGCUGCUCACAACGGAACCGUUGACUACCUUGGCAACGUUAAGCGUGGCUCCUGCCCUUGUGCAGUGAACCGCUCUUGUGUGAAUGCUGAACAGUCCUGCAAUUGUGACAUCUCUGAGGCCAAGUGGCUCUCUGACGAAGGUUACUACAUCUCUCCUGAUUCUCUUGGCAUCACCAAAAUGGUGUUCCUUCAGCAGAAAGAUCUAGACGAGGAUGCUCUUGGUAGAAUUACACUUGGACCUCUGGAAUGUGUUGAAACCAAUACACAGAAAUAUGUAGUUACAUUCACUUCCAGCCAAUCAUACAUAGAAGUGCCUGGCUGGACCAAGGGAGACAUAGCCUUCAGUUUUCGUACAACAGGAGAGAAGGCCAUCCUUCUCUACCAGCCCCCUAUCCGACCUCAUCAGCCCUCCUUCAUGGUGGCUCUGACUAGUGAGUUCCACCUGACAUUCAACUUCACAAUGAAUACUGGCAAGCCGCGAGCUCUCGCUAUCAAGUCGUCCCGUCGCCUCAACUCGGGAGAAUGGCAGAAGAUCUGGAUAGACUACAACCAGCAUCACGUGCGUUUCAUGAUCAACACAGACUACCAGAUGGUGGACUUGCUGCCUGAGGAGGAGUUUGGACCCUUUGAGGGCAGUAUGUUCAUUGGCGGAGCUACUGAAGACCUGCUGGUGGGCCAGUCAGUUCACAAAGGGUUAAUUGGCUGUUUCCGUGGAUUGGUGGUGAACGGGGAGAUCCUCGACAUCUAUUCUUACAUGAGUGUUCACCUGUCAGAGAUAAUCAAGGACUGCAAGCCCUCCUGUGAUCCUAACCCCUGCAAGAAUGGAGCUAGGUGCAAGGAACUGUGGAGUACCUUUGAGUGUGUAUGUGACAACCCCUGGGCCUACAUCGGCACAUACUGUGAAACCAACAUAAACGAGAAUGGAAUCACACUGGUGACGAGAGAGUCAUACUUCAAGAAGAAUUAUUUGUUCAAUGUGACAAGUGAGGAGAAGAGGAACUACAAGGCCUUGCUGACGGAGACGGUUCUGGUGAAUCUGAGGACUUACGAUCAACAUUCACUGAUUCUUCAUGCCAACGAUCAUCUCAACAACUUCCUCCAGCUGUACAUCACUGCGGGGACUAAAGUAGUGCUACUCUUCAACCGCAUGGAGGUUAUCCAUAACAUCACCGUUGAGUAUGGAGGACUGAACAGCGGUAAGUCUGUACAGAUCGCUGUAGAGAGGAGAGCAGAGGAGACGAUCUUACACGUCAACGAUCACAACAGUUCUGUACCAGUCGGAGUGCGACUGCUCACAGAGUACUCUAACAAGCCUUGGAACAAUUCGGAGAAAGAGGUGUUGGCCCCUCAGAGGCCCCCGGCACCUCCAACAGACUACUUCCAAGUGAAUCUUGGAGGCUAUGACCGUGAGAACUUACUUCAUGUGAAUUCUGGGGCUCCCGUUCUGGAUGGUUACAUUGGCUGUAUACGUGGACUCAAAAUAGGAAAUAUUCUCAUGGACUUGUCCCACCAGCUUGAUAUAAAUGACAGUGCAGGCAUUAUUGCUGGAUGUCACAUGCGUUGUGAUGAGGUACCUUGCAAAAAUCAGGGAAUCUGUAUUGAGGACUUUCAGAAGAAUGAGAGCUCUUGUGACUGCGAGUUUACCUCCUACUACGGCGAGUUUUGUGGACAAGAAAAGGGAGCGGACUUCAGCGGAGAGUCAGUUCUGCAGAGGAAGUUCCCGCUGGAAGGUCCAGUGACUCAGAUCAAGGUCCAGUUGGCGUUCUCCAGCGGAGACGACCGCCAGCGAAACACUGUAGUGCUGCUGCUGCAGACAGAGAACAAGCGCAGCUACUACCUCCUUGUUGCUUUGAGCUCUGAAGGGGAGUUGAUAUUUGAGGAGGACAGAGAAGGUUCUGCCUAUGGAGCUCGAAUUAAGGACCGGUACUUCCUCAAUGGUGCUAGGCAUUCCAUCUACUAUCUUCGCAACAAUGAUUCUGCAAUGCUGCGGGUGGACCGAGAAACAGUUCCUCUGGUGGCCAUCCCAGUCCUGAGUCUAACAGAGGUUCCUGAGGGUCAUCUCGGAGCCAAUGAGGUUCAGAUCGGAGGCCUGAACACCAGUGACCCCCGUUUCGCUGCCUACAAGAGCUACAGUGGCUGUCUGUCAAAUGUAUUCUUGGAGGUUAACAAGUACAGUAUGAAACCCCUGGACGAGUACAUGCUGUUUACUAAAACAGGUAGCGAGGAGGUGAACGUAAUGAAUUCACACGGCAUCAGAAGUGCUCAGUGUGCUUUCUUCGAUGUCACCCACAAACCGAGGCCUGGCCCUUCGCUCAACAUCAGUCUGGGCAAAGAUGCUAUAUUGACUUGGGUGGUGGACCCUCCAAAGAGGACCGACUACAAGUCUACGUACUCGGAUAUUUCCACAGAGGAAAACGAAACAGGCAAAAUUCUCUUCAUCAUUGCAACUUCCUUAUUCUGUAUAAUAAUCCUGGGCACUCUGUACCAUGUGUGGAGUAACCACCUCCAGUGGAAGAAGCGAAGAGAGCGACGUGCGGCUCAGGCCAUCAAGUGGCACAAUGGCCAGCAGAUACCGCCUGGUUUCACGGAUCCGGUUCAGGUCAAAGUGGUCAGGUCUCGCAGUGUUCCACAACCAGUAGAAGAGAGCAAAGUGUUGAUUGGCAACGGAACAGAGCUGAGGCCAGUCAUCAAGCCAGUGGGAGUUCGGCAACGCUUGCGAGACAGCGAGCGCCAUCUGGCAACCCCCAUCAGAGAAGAGAAAUCAGCUGGUGAAGAGAGCGAAGAUGAAAACCACAAGUUAAUAAAUCCACCCCCACCAAAAAUAAUUGUGGAGGAACUUGAUGAUAAACUGGCUGUGGAGGAGGAGGAGGAGGAAGAAGAGGCAGUGGACAUCCCUGCGGACAAGAUACCGGAAGGGGAUGAUGAGAAGAGUGGGGAAGAGGAGAAAGAGAAGGAAGAAGAGCCCAUGGUCAUCACACAAGUAGACUCUACCAACAAGGACAAGGAACUGGACGAGCGACUCUUAGGCAACCCGGUGGUGGGGUGGGCAUAUAGGUGGAUAGACUCCCUUACACCAUAGACGAGCUCGGGAGCAUGGAGUUCACCACCACACCCUACGCUUGACACAGGACGGACCUGAGAGUCCCAGUGGACGGACAAACCCAGAACCGGAAACCAAACCUAUGUACCGCCCCUUGAGGAAUCUGUUCCCAGUUACCAAUAUCUCCCCAGUUUUUCUGUCUGAGGACCAGAGGACAUUCCUGAAUCCC
rnacentral:misc_RNA from 1 species